rnacentral:rRNA from 1 species
AACGAACGCUGGCGGCAGGCUUAACACAUGCAAGUCGAGCGCCCCGCAAGGGGAGCGGCAGACGGGUGAGUAACGCGUGGGAAUCUACCCAUCUCUACGGAAUAACGCAUGGAAACGUGUGCUAAUACCGUAUACGUCCUUCGGGAGAAAGAUUUAUCGGAGAUGGAUGAGCCCGCGUUGGAUUAGCUAGUUGGUGGGGUAAAGGCCUACCAAGGCGACGAUCCAUAGCUGGUCUGAGAGGAUGAUCAGCCACACUGGGACUGAGACACGGCCCAGAAUCAUACGGGAGGCAGCAGUGGGGAAUAUGGGACAAUGGGCGCAAGCCUGAUCCAGCCAUGCCGCGUGAGUGAUGAAGGCCCUAGGGUUGUAAAGCUCUUUCACCGGUGAAGAUAAUGACGGUAACCGGAGAAGAAGCCCCGGCUAACUUCGUGCCAGCCGCCGCAGUAACAC